GACUCUGAAUGCAGACAAGAUAUUUGGCUUGUUGCCUGUCAGCAAAUCAACGUAUAUUCCAUAUGAGGUGCAGGAUCCUGUCGAGUGCUUGUAUGUGAGACCAAGAAGAUACGUUUUGCCAUAUCCGUCUGAGAGAGAUGAUGCUUACACAGUUUUCCAGAAUGUAGGAAUGAAGAUGGCAACAAACUUGUUUAUCCGGUUACCAUCAUGCCUCA